UACGAAGGGGGCGAGCGUUGUUCGGAAUUACUGGGCGUAAAGGGCGCGUAGGCGGCCGAGCAAGUUAGAUGUGAAAGUCCUGGGCUUAACCUGGGGACUGCAUUUGAUACUGCUUGGCUUGAAUUCGGGAGAGGAUAGCGGAAUUCCCAGUGUAGAGGUGAAAUUCGUAGAUAUUGGGAAGAACACCGGUGGCGAAGGCGGCUAUCUGGACCGAUACUGACGCUGAGGAGCGAAAGCCAGGGGAGCAAACGGG
rnacentral:rRNA from 1 species